UACAGAGGGUGCAAGCGUUGUUCGGAAUUAUUGGGCGUAAAGGGCGCGUAGGCGGUGCUAUAAGUCUGUGGUGAAAUCUCUGGGCUCAACUCCGGAACUGCCAUUGAAACUGUUGGACUUGAGUACGAGAGAGGUGAGUGGAAUUCCCAGUGUAGAGGUGAAAUUCGUAGAUAUUGGGAAGAACACCGGUGGCGAAGGCGGCUCACUGGCUCGUAACUGACGCUCAGGCGCGACAGCGUGGGGAUCAAACAGG
rnacentral:rRNA from 1 species